CCUACGGGAGGCUGCAGUGGGGAAUAUUGGACAAUGGGCGAAAGCCUGAUCCAGCCAUGCCGCGUGUGUGAAGAAGGCCUUCGGGUUGUAAAGCACUUUCAGUGGGGAAGAAAGCCUUGGGGCUAAUACCCUCGAGGAAGGACAUCACCCACAGAAGAAGCACCGGCUAACUCCGUGCCAGCAGCCGCGGUAAUACGGAGGGUGCGAGCGUUAAUCGGAAUUACUGGGCGUAAAGCGCGCGUAGGCGGUCUGAUAAGCCGGUUGUGAAAGCCCCGGGCUCAACCUGGGAACGGCAUCCGGAACUGUCAGGCUAGAGUGCAGGAGAGGAAGGUAGAAUUCCCGGUGUAGCGGUGAAAUGCGUAGAGAUCGGGAGGAAUACCAGUGGCGAAGGCGGCCUUCUGGACUGACACUGACGCUGAGGUGCGAAAGCGUGGGUAGCAAACAGGAUUAGAUACCCGUGUAGU
rnacentral:rRNA from 1 species